rnacentral:rRNA from 1 species
UACAGAGGGGGCAAGCGUUAUUCGGAAUUAUUGGGCGUAAAGAGCUCGUAGGCGGCCUGUUGCGUCCGCUGUGAAAGCCCGGGGCUUAACCCCGGGUCGGCAGUGGAUACGGGCAGGCUAGAGGUAGGUAGGGGAGAAUGGAAUUCCCGGUGUAGCGGUGAAAUGCGCAGAUAUCGGGAGGAACACCGGUGGCGAAGGCGGUUCUCUGGGCCUUACCUGACGCUGAGGCAUGAAAGCGUGGGGAGCAAACAGG